rnacentral:rRNA from 1 species
AUUGAACGCUGGCGGCAGGCUUAACACAUGCAAGUCGAGCGGGGUGAUGGUGCUUGCACUAUCACUUAGCGGCGGACGGGUGAGUAAUGCUUAGGAAUCUGCCUAUUAGUGGGGGACAACAUCUCGAAAGGGAUGCUAAUACCGCAUACGUCCUACGGGAGAAAGCAGGGGAUCACUCGUGACCUUGCGCUAAUAGAUGAGCCUAAGUCUGAUUAGCUAGUUGGUGGGGUAAAGGCCUACCAAGGCGACGAUCGGUAGCGGGUCUGGGAGGAUGAUCCGCCACACUGGGACUGAGACACGGCCCAGACUCCUACGGGAGGCAGCAGUGGGGAAUAUUGGACAAUGGGGGGAACCCUGAUCCAGCCAUGCCGCGUGUGUGAAGAAGGCCUUAUGGUUGUAAAGCACUUUAAGCGAGGAGGAGGCUCUUUUGGUUAAUACCCAAGAUGAGUGGACGUUACUCGCAGAAUAAGCACCGGCUAACUCUGUGCCAGCAGCCGCGGUAA